UACGUAGGGGGCUAGCGUUGUCCGGAAUCAUUGGGCGUAAAGAGCGUGUAGGCGGCCCGGUAAGUCCGCUGUGAAAGUCGGGGGCUCAACCCUCGAAUGCCGGUGGAUACUGUCGGGCUAGAGUGCGGAAGAGGCGAGUGGAAUUCCUGGUGUAGCGGUGAAAUGCGCAGAUAUCAGGAGGAACACCGGUGGCGAAGGCGGUUCUCUGGGCCUGUACUGACGCUGAGGAACGAAAGCGUGGGGAGCGAACAGG
rnacentral:rRNA from 1 species